rnacentral:rRNA from 1 species
UACGGGGGGAGCAAGCGUUGUUCGGAUUUACUGGGCGUAAAGGGCGCGUAGGCGGCCACCGCAAGUCAGUUGUGAAAUCUCCGAGCUUAACUCGGAAAGGUCAACUGAUACUGCGGGGCUAGAGUGCGGAAGGGGCAACUGGAAUUCUUGGUGUAGCGGUGAAAUGCGUAGAUAUCAAGAGGAACACCUGCGGCGAAGGCGGAUCUCUGGGCCAUUACUGACGUUGAGGAGCGAAAGCGUGGGGAGCGAACAGG